rnacentral:rRNA from 3 species
AGACCCGAAACCCGGUGAUCUAGCCAUGGGCAGGUUGAAGGUUGGGUAACACUAACUGGAGGACCGAACCGACUAAUGUUGAAAAAUUAGCGGAUGACCUGUGGCUGGGGGUGAAAGGCCAAUCAAACCGGGAGAUAGCUGGUUCUCCCCGAAAGCUAUUUAGGUAGCGCCUCGUGAAUUCAUCUCCGGGGGUAGAGCACUGUUUCGGCUAGGGGGCCAUCCCGGCUUACCAACCCGAUGCAAACUGCGAAUACCGGAGAAUGUUAUCACGGGAGACACACGGCGGGUGCUAACGUCCGUCGUGAAGAGGGAAACAACCCAGACCGCCAGCUAAGGUCCCAAAGUCAUGGUUAAGUGGGAAACGAUGUGGGAAGGCCCAGACAGCCAGGAUGUUGGCUUAGAAGCAGCCAUCAUUUAAAGAAAGCGUAAUAGCUCACUGGUCGAGUCGGCCUGCGCGGAAGAUGUAACGGGGCUAAACCAUGCACCGAAGCUGCGGCAGCGAACGUAUCACCCAAGACAACUUUACGGAGUUGACGAUUGACGGAGCGAAGCGACGUCAAAGCGUUCAUUAAAGUCGAGUUGGCUUAGGGAUACGUUCGUUGGGUAGGGGAGCGUUCUGUAAGCCUGUGAAGGUGUGUCGUGAGGCAUGCUGGAGGUAUCAGAAGUGCGAAUGCUGACAUAAGUAACGAUAAAGCGGGUGAAAAGCCCGCUCGCCGGAAGACCAAGGGUUCCUGUCCAACGUUAAUCGGGGCAGGGUGAGUCGACCCCUAAGGCGAGGCCGAAAGGCGUAGUCGAUGGGAAACGGGUUAAUAUUCCCGUACUUGGUGUUACUGCGAAGGGGGGACGGAGAAGGCUAUGUUGGCCGGGCGACGGUUGUCCCGGUUUAAGCGUGUAGGUGUGUGUUCCAGGUAAAUCCGGUUCACUUUAACACUGAGGCGUGACGACGAGGCACUACGGUGCUGAAGCAACAAAUGCCCUGCUUCCAGGAAAAGCCUCUAAGCAUCAGGUAACACGAAAUCGUACCCCAAACCGACACAGGUGGUCAGGUAGAGAAUACCAAGGCGCUUGAGAGAACUCGGGUGAAGGAACUA